rnacentral:rRNA from 1 species
UGGAUAACCUGCCCUCGGCACCGGAAUAGCCCGGGGAAACCCGGAUUAAUGCCGGAUAGCCCCACAGCCCGCAGGGGCGGUGGGAAAAGGUAGCUUCGGCCUCUGGCCGAGGAUGGGUCCGCGGCGGAUUAGCUAGUUGGUGGGGUAACGGCCCACCAAGGCGACGAUCCGUAGCUGGUCUGAGAGGACGAACAGCCACACUGGGACUGAGACACGGCCCAGACUCCUACGGGAGGCAG